UACGUAGGGUCCGAGCGUUGUCCGGAGUUACUGGGCGUAAAGCGCGCGCAGGCGGCGGUGCUGGCCCGGCGUGAAAGCCCCCCGGCUCAACCGGGGGAGGGUCGUCGGGGACCGCACCGCUUGAGGGCGGUAGGGGGCUGGUGGAACGCCUGGUGUAGUGGUGAAAUGCGUAGAGAUCAGGCGGAACACCCGUGGCGAAGGCGGCCAGCUGGGCCGUCCCUGACGCUGAGGCGCGAAGGCGUGGGGAGCGAACGGGG
rnacentral:rRNA from 1 species